GAUGAACGCUGGCGGCGUGCUUAACACAUGCAAGUCGAACGGUGAAGGCGGAGCUUGCUCUGCUGGAUCAGUGGCGAACGGGUGAGUAACACGUGAGCAAUCUGCCCCUGACUCUGGGAUAAGCGCUGGAAACGGCGUCUAAUACUGGAUACGAGCUGCGAGGGCAUCUUCAGCAGCUGGAAAGAACUUCGGUCAGGGAUGAGCUCGCGGCCUAUCAGCUUGUUGGUGAGGUAACGGCUCACCAAGGCGUCGACGGGUAGCCGGCCUGAGAGGGUGACCGGCCACACUGGGACUGAGACACGGCCCAGACUCCUACGGGAGGCAGCAGUGGGGAAUAUUGCACAAUGGGCGAAAGCCUGAUGCAGCAACGCCGCGUGAGGGACGACGGCCUUCGGGUUGUAAACCUCUUUUAGCAGGGAAGAAGCGAAAGUGACGGUACCUGCAGAAAAAGCGCCGGCUAACUACGUG
rnacentral:rRNA from 1 species